rnacentral:rRNA from 1 species
AUUGAACGCUGGCGGCAUGCCUUACACAUGCAAGUCGAACGGCAGCACGGGGCAACCUGGUGGCGAGUGGCGAACGGGUGAGUAAUGCAUCGGAACGUACCUUUCAGUGGGGGAUAACGUAGCGAAAGUUACGCUAAUACCGCAUAUUCUGUGAGCAGGAAAGCAGGGGAUCGCAAGACCUUGCGCUGAUUGAGCGGCCGAUGUCAGAUUAGCUAGUUGGUGAGGUAAAGGCUCACCAAGGCGACGAUCUGUAGCGGGUCUGAGAGGAUGAUCCGCCACACUGGAACUGAGACACGGUCCAGACUCCUACGGGAGGCAGCAGUGGGGAAUUUUGGACAAUGGGGGCAACCCUGAUCCAGCCAUGCCGCGUGAGUGAAGAAGGCCUUCGGGUUGUAAGGCUCUUUCGCGAGGGAAGAAAACGCACUCUCUAAUACAGGGUGUGGAUGACGGUACCUUGAUAAGAAGCACCGGCUAACUACGUGCCAGCCGCCGCCGUAAAAC